rfam:Triticum aestivum genome assembly, contig: Triticum_aestivum_CS42_TGACv1_scaffold_031696_1BL
CAAGUACUCUCUCCGUCCCGAAAUACUUGUCGGAGGAAUGGAUGUAUCUAGACGUAUUUUAAUUUUAGAUACAUCCAUUUUUAUGCAUCUCUCCUAAGAGUAUUUCCAGACGGAGGGAGUACUUC